AACGAACGCUGGCGGCGUGCCUAACACAUGCAAGUCGUACGAGAAACACAUCCUUCGGGGUGUGGAGUAAAGUGGCGCACGGGUGAGUAACACGUGGGUAACCUGCCAUUGGGAUCGGGAUAACUGGCCGAAAGGCCCGCUAAUACCGGAUGAGACCACGGAGACCAAGGUUUCUGGGGUAAAGUCGGCCUCUCAUAGAAGCCGGCGCCUGAUGAUGGGCCCGCGGACCAUUAGCUAGUUGGUAAGGUAACGGCUUACCAAGGCAGAGAUGGUUAGCUGGUCUGAGAGGAUGAUCAGCCACACUGGAACUGAGAUACGGUCCAGACUCCUACGGGAGGCAGCAGUGAGGAAUAUUGCGCAAUGGAGGAAACUCUGACGCAGCAACGCCGCGUGAGUGAAGAAGGCUUUCGGGUUGUAAAGCUCUGUCAGGUGGGAAGAAACCUUUAUAGUUGAAUAGGCUAUAAAACUGACGGUACCACCAAAGGAAGCACCGGCUAACUCCGUGCCAGCCGCCGCGGUAAGAC
rnacentral:rRNA from 1 species